rnacentral:lncRNA from 1 species
AUGUCCUCUUGGGCCAUGUUGAGCACUGCUGAUAAUACGUUGAAUUGUGUCCUUUCCUCUGUCCUCCGAUUACUGUCUACCCUCCAGGUUUUCGACACUCCACCUACCCAGCGACAGGAGAGAAGGACUAGUUGUCUUCCCAGUUUUGAUCCUCAAAGACCUCCAGAAGCAGCCAAAUAUCAAGUUGGUGAAAUUCCAGGUGAACGAGAGGACAGGACUCAGCCCAUCUGUGCCACCUCCUGGCUGUGUAGCUUGGAGCACAGUCCAAUCUCCCAUCUGUAAAGGGGGGGUAAUGACCCAGUAUUGCACAUUCAGCAAUUGGAGAAAACUCUUCUUCAUUAGUCAGAAGUUGCUAGAGACUAUUAGAGGUUAAUGAAUGUCUAUCUGUCCCUCCCAUAUUCGUAUGUUGAAUAUUGGCAUGUCAAGCAAUCCCUGUGUCAGGGAGGGGUUCAGAGAUGGCCAAGCAGAGAGAUUAGGCCACGGAGGUGGAGCCCUCGGGAAUGUGAUCAGUGCCUUAGAGAAGAGACGCCAGGAGCUGGGAAGACGUGGAUGUCAGUGAAAUGAUCACAGUGUGCAGGUCCGAGCUCAAUCACCACAAAAAAACGACAGGCGUGGAGACAAACACAGGCAUUCCCAAUGCAGGGAAGGCAGAGGCAACAGGGUUUCUGGGCUUUGCUGGUCAGCCAGUGUAGUCAAACCAGUGAGCUGAAAGUUCAGUGGUAGACUCCAUUUUAAAAAGUGACAUGGGGCCAGGCUGUGGUGGCUCACGCCUUUAAUCCUGGAAUAAGGGAGGCAGAGGCAGGUGGAUCUCUAUAAGUUUAAGGCUAGACUGGUCUACAGAGGGAGUUUCAGGGCAGCCAGUGCUGUUACUCAGAGAAACCAUAUCUUGAAAACACAAACAAACAAGCAAACAAACAAACCCAAUAACCAAAAAAAAG